UGGGGAAUAUUGCACAAUGGGCGAAAGCCUGAUGCAGCAACGCCGCGUGAGGGAUGACGGCCUUCGGGUUGUAAACCUCUUUUAGUAGGGAAGAAGCGAAAGUGACGGUACCUGCAGAAAAAGCACCGGCUAACUACGUGCCAGCAGCCGCGGUAAUACGUAGGGUGCGAGCGUUGUCCGGAAUUAUUGGGCGUAAAGAGCUCGUAGGCGGUCUGUCGCGUCUGCUGCGAAAAUCCCGAGGCUCAACCUCGGGCUUGCAGUGGGUACGGGCAGACUAGAGUGCGGUAGGGGAGAAUGGAAUUCCUGGUGUAGCGGUGGAAUGCGCAGAUAUCAGGAGGAACACCGAUGGCGAAGGCAGUUCUCUGGGCCGUAACUGACGCUGAGGAGCGAAAGCGUGGGGAGCGAACAGGAUUAGAUACCCUGGUAGUCCACGCCGUAAACGUUGGGCGCUAGAUGUGGGGACCAUUCCACGGUUUCCGUGUCGCAGCUAACGCAUUAAGCGCCCCGCCUGGGGAGUACGGCCGCAAGGCUAAAACUCAAAUGAAUUGACGGGGUCAUAGCUG
rnacentral:rRNA from 1 species